rnacentral:tRNA from 1 species
GGGCGGUUAGCUCAGUUGGCUAGAGCAUCUGGUUUACAUCCAGAAGGUCGAUGGUUCGAGUCCAUUACCGCCCACCA